UGUAAAGUUCAAGCUCCGAUUGUGAGGGCGAAACCGCGAAUGGCUCAUUAAAUCAGUCAUAAUCUACUUGAUUGUUUCAAGUUUAUAUGGAUAACUGUGGUAAUUCUAGAGCUAAUACAUGCACAAAUGGGGCGACUCUCGCAAGAGAGAAGCUCUGCGUUUAUUAGACUAAGACCAAUGAAGCUCUUCUUCUCGAAGACUUCUCCAAAAUGGUGACUCUGAGUAAAUAAUGGGUGAAAGCCCAUGUUGCCGACCUGGCAUACCAAAGGUGGCCUCAAAACCAUCGCCAGGCGAAUCAAUCGAGUGUCUGCUCUAUCAACUGUGGAUGGUAGGAUAAUUGCCUACCAUGGUGAUGACGGGUAACGGGGAGUUAGGGCUCGACUCCGGAGAACAAGCCUGAGAAACGGCUAGUAGGACUAAGGUCUGCAGCAGGCGCGAAACUUACACAAUGCUAGAUUUCAAAUAUUAGCGAUGUAGUGAAGAAAAAUAACGAUGUACUUUUAUUUAAACAUAAUAGUACAAUUGGAAUGAGACGACUCUAAACCAGUUAGUCGAGUAACAAAUGGAGGGCAAGUCUGGUGCCAGCAGCCGCGGUAAUUCCAGCUCCAUUAGCAUACAUUAAAGUUGUUGCGGUUAAAAAGCUCGUAGUUGAAUUUUAGGCACUGGUGUCAUGGCUAGUGGCGUUAAGGGUUUCAUCGCAAGAUUUAACCUGCUGCUUACUCUAAACACCAAUGCUGUUUCGUCACUUAAUUCAGUGCGAAGCAAGCUGGAAAAUAUAUAGUACCCACCGUGGUACUCAUUCUUCAGCAUGUUUACCUUGAGAAAAUUAGAGUGCUCACAGCAGGCAGUUGGGGUGUAAAAACCUCUUUAUGCUUGAAUAAUGUUGCAUGGAAUAAUAGAAUACGGCCUCGGUUCUAUUCUGUUGGUCUUAUAGAACAACAAACAAGUUGGUUGGAAACCCUUAAAAGUUUCCUAGAUUCGGUUGCCUUUCAACGCUCACGCGCUCCAAGGUCCGGUCGCUUGCCAACUGAGGCAAUGGUUAAAAGAAAUAGUCGCGGCGGCAUCAGUACUGCAUCGUGAGAGGUGAAAUUCUUAGACCGAUGCAAGACUAACUGAAGCGAAAGCGUUUGCCGAGGAUAUUUUCAUUAAUCAAGAACGAAAGUUAGAGGUUCGAAGGCGAUCAGAUACCGCCCUAGUUCUAACCAUAAACGUUGCCAACUAGCAAUUGGGUUGCGAUUCCUUUAAUCGAGACCCUAAAAAGUCUCGAUCAUUAUGAUCCACCCAGCGGCUCUCGUAGGGAAACCAAAGUGUUUGGGUUCCGGGGGAAGUAUGAUUGCAAAGUUGAAACUUAAAGGAAUUGACGGAAGGGCACCACCAGGAGUGGAGCCUGCGGCUUAAUUUGACUCAACACGGGGAAACUUACUAGAUUAAAACUCUGGAAUGAUUGACAGAUUGAUAGCUCUUUCUUGAUUCAGAGGAUGGUGGUGCAUGGCCGUUCUUGAUUCGUAUUCCGAAACGUCUGCUUAAUUGCGAUAACGAGUGAGACCUCACCCAACUAACUAGUCGUUAGGUGCGCUGUUGGAACACUAAAGUCAGCUGUAGAUCAAUGGUUGAUUGGAGCAAGUGUGGCAACAUAACUACCCCUUUCAUCCUACUGCGCCUGAUGUUCUCUGCUCGCCUGCGGACUUCUUAGAGGGAUAAACGGUGUUUUAGCCGUAAGAAACGAGGCAAUAACAGGUCUGUGAUGCCCUUAGAUAUUCUAGGCCGCACGCGUGCUACAAUGGCGUGUGCAGAAAGCUUGUUCGAGGUUUGUCUAGAGAGAACUAGUUGUUUGGUGUUAGUUGAGCAAUUGAUUUAAAUCGGCAGCCAAGUGACUCUAGUAACAGGCCGAGAGAAACCGCAGCCGAAAGGUUGUGGCAAUCAUAAAUACACGCCGUGAUUUGGGAUUGGGGAUUGCAAUUGUUGCCCAUGAACGAGGAAUUCCCAGUAAGCGCAAUUCAUCAUAUUGCGUUGAUUACGUCCCUGCCCUUUGUACACACCGCCCGUCGCUACUACCGAUUGAAAGUUUUAGUGAGGCAUUUGGACUUGCAAACCAAUGGAGGGGGCAACCUCUCCAGGUUAGCGGGGAAGUCUGUCGAACUCAAAUUUUUAGAGGAAGUAAAAGUCGUAACAAGGUUUCCGU
rnacentral:rRNA from 1 species